UGCAUAGCUUAAUCUUGUGGCGUAAAUAAAAUAUCCACUGUUAUGUUCUUCUGAUUUUUAAAUAUAAAAUCUGAAAACUUUGGUUACAAUAUAUAUAAUUGUGGAAGUAAUUUUUUUUUUACCCUAAGUAAUGUCAAAUAUAGAAAUGAUGAUUUGCCUUAAACAAACUCAUACUUUUUAUCUUUAAUUUAUUUUCUUUUAUAAUGAGCCCAUAGUAUGAUAUUGAUCACAACAUGUUUCAACUUCUCUCUGUAUCUCUCACGUCUUUCUUGUGCUGGCAUCGCUUGUGAUAUUACUUGGCCCAAAACAUUACUUGGCUCAACUUCACCAUCAGAAGAAGACUAUUGUAUUUGGGCCAGAAAAAGAAGACUGGGCCCAUUAUCUCAUAAACUCUACAUUGGGCUCAGUCUACUUGUUUAUUCUCUUUAACAGGCCCAACCCAACAAAACUUUUUUUCCUCUUUUACUUUGCUUCUUCCCCAACGAUGAUAACGAAGCAUCUUCUUCGAUUUCUUCAAUGCAAAACUGACCAUGAUUCUGACAACGGUAACUCCGGCCAACACCACGUUCGUCAGCGAAUUCUCGGGCAGGCUAAGCUUCUGAACCCGAUGCCUACGAAUCCUCUGUGGCUUUCUCUUUCUCCGUCGAAACCAAAAUCGCCAUUGCUUCGUCCUCGAAGCUAAUCUCUUUCUCCUUUUCCGGCGAUUCCCAUGACGUCGUCCAUCUUUAUUGGUCGACGAUGCUCUCAAGGCUCACCAUAUAAACCGCUGUUUCCUACGGCUACGAUUUCCGAUUAAACUACGCGACCCCUCAGCGAUUCUUCUGUCGCCAAUCUUCUGUGAUCUUAGUUUUUGAAGCCAUUUCAAGCUUAUCUGACAAACCACUUCGUCUCCUCUGCUGUUCUGAGGACUUCAUGUAACCUUCUCAACCGGAAUCAUCUCUUUCUUUUCCUGUCUCUGAAUCCAAAGAGAUGUGAUGAGCUUUGUGUGUUUGAUAAUGUGAUGAGAGGUAAAGCUAGAGAGUAUUUAUAGGCGAGUUCCGAUUAAGUCAAUAAUCUAUUGGUGACCAAGUAAAAUUUAUUUGCAACCUAAACUGAAUUAGAAUCAAAUCUUUUGAAUCGGAUUUUUCAGGAAUAUUCACCAAAUCCGUUUUUAAUACAAUCAUAUAGUUUCUGUUGUCGAGAGAUUGUCGAGAAAAUGGAUUCAAUAUUUUGUGGAGAUUUUUAUGGCAAAUAGUUGAGCAUCAGAUUUGAAA